rnacentral:rRNA from 1 species
UGGCGGACGGGUGAGUAACGCGUAACUGACCUACCCAGAAGUCAUGAAUAACUGGCCGAAAGGUCAGCUAAUACGUGAUGUGAUGAUUCGCCGUGGCGAAUCAUUAAAGAUUUAUCGCUUCUGGAUGGGGUUGCGUUCCAUCAGCUAGUUGGUGGGGUAAAGGCCUACCAAGGCGACGACGGAUAGCCGGCCUGAGAGGGUGGCCGGCCACAGGGGCACUGAGACACGGGUCCCACUCCUACGGGAGGCAGCAGUUAGGAAUCUUCCACAAUGGGCGCAAGCCUGAUGGAGCGACGCCGCGUGAGGGAUGAAGGUUCUCGGAUCGUAAACCUCUGAACUAGGGACGAAAGAGCCGUAUGGCAGAUGACGGUACCUAGGUAAUAGAACCGGCUAACUCCGUGCCAGCAGCCGCGGUAAU